CGUUAAAACAUCGGUUCUCGUCCGAUCACCGAAGUUAAGCAACAUCGAUUCUGUUUAGUAUCUAGAUGGGUGACUUCUUGGGAAUACCAAGUGCUGUAA